rfam:Sphingobacterium nematocida strain DSM 24091 genome assembly, contig: LY61DRAFT_scaffold00041.41
AAGAAAGUAAAUAAGGGCACACGGGGGAUGUCUAGGCUCUCAGAGGCGAUGAAGGACGUGAUAAGCUGCGAUAAGCCACGGGGAUCAGCAAAUGUGACUUGAUCCGUGGAUUUCCGAAUGGGGCAACCUGGCUGUUUGAAGAACAGUCGUAUAAUACGCGAACGCGCCGAACUGAAACAUCUAAGUAAGCGUAGGAGGAGAAAAUAAUAAUGAUUUCGUAAGUAGUGGCGAGCGAACACGAAAGAGCCCAAACCCAUAUUGUUACGGCAAUAUGGGGGUUGUAGGACCACGAGAUUGUAUUGUCGCUAUGAACUGGAAGCAGGUGGGAAACUGCGCGAUAUGGGUGAUAGCCCCGUACAGGUAAAGAAUGACAGCAUAGUGGUAUCCUGAGUAGGGCGGGACCGGAGGAAUCCUGCUUGAAUCUGCCAGCACCAUCUGGUAAGGCUAAAUACUCCUGAGAGACCGAUAGUGGACCAGUACCGUGAGGGAAAGAUGAAAAGAACCCCGAACAGGGGAGUGAAAAGAACCUGAAACCGUGUGCUUACAAGCGGUUGGAGCGGACUUGUUCCGUGACAGCGUGCCUUUUGCAUAAUGAGCCUACGAGUUACUCUUUACUGGCAAGGUUAAGUGGUUCAGCCACGCAGCCGAAGCGAAAGCGAGUCUGAACAGGGCGCAUAGUCAGUAGAGGUAGACGCGAAACCUUGUGAUCUACCCUUGGGCAGGUUGAAGCUGUGGUAACACACAGUGGAGGACCGAACCGAUAAACGUUGAAAAGUUUCCGGAUGACCUGAGGGUAGGGGUGAAAGGCCAAUCAAACUGGGAAAUAGCUCGUACUCCCCGAAAUGUUUUUAGGAACAGCGUCGGCAUAGAGUCUUGUAGAGGUAGAGCUACCGAUUGGGUGCGGGGGAGUCAAAUCCUACCAAAUCCAGACGAACUCCGAAUGCUACAAGAUAUGGCCGGCAGUGAGGCUUUGGGUGCUAAGGUCCAAGGCCGAGAGGGAAAGAACCCAGACCAUCAGCUAAGGUCCCCAAAUGUAGUCUAAGUUGAACUAACGAGGUCCGGUUGCCCAGACAGCUAGGAUGUUGGCUUGGAAGCAGCCAUUCAUUUAAAGAGUGCGUAACAGCUCACUAGUCGAGCGACCGGGCGUGGAUAAUAAACGGGCAUCAAGAUUACUACCGAAGCUAUGGAUUUGCAAGUUAAUUGCAUCUGGUAGGGGAGCAUUCUAUUGGGGGCGAAGCCGCAUGGUGAUGUG